rnacentral:rRNA from 1 species
AAUACUCUUUUUAUAGGGGGAGAAAAAAAAGAUGAUUCAUAGUAGACACAGCUGGGUCUCAUAAUAAUCACGAUGAUGAGCGACGAUACAUCCUACAAUAUUAUGAAUUAUCUGUUUUCGACAGUGUGUGUGUCCGACUAUGGCGGCGGCGCCUUGUAGGCGAGGAAUUGGGGUUUUCUUCCGGAGAGGGAGCAGGAGAAACGGCCACAACAUAUAAAGAAAGCAGCCGGGGCGCAAAUUCCCCCCUCUUGCCUCGGGGAGGUGGCGACAAGAAGAUAACACCACAGGAAAUUUUAUUUUGUAGUGAGAGUAAUGAGGGGAAUACCCACCCCUUUCAGAGUAACACUUGGAGAGCAAGUGUGGCGCCAGCAGCGGCGGUAAUACCAGCUCUAAUAUAGUAUAUAAAAGUUGUUGCAGAUAAAAAGCUCGUAGUAGGAUAUCUGCUGGAAACAAUCACUCCCCCCUUUUAGGGAGGGGGUGUACAUGAAGUAUUGUGGCAUGAUUUUCUCCCCACUAAUAUUAUUAUUAUAUUAUGUUUAUUCCUAUUAUAGUAAUAAUUUUUUUUGGGAAAACCACAGUUACUUUGAGAAAAUUAGAGUGUUUGAAGCAGGCUUGUUGCCUUGAAUACUGCAGCAUGGAAUAACAAUAUAGGAUUUCGGUUCUAUUUUGUUGGUUUCUAGGACUGAAAUAAUGAUUAAUAGGGACAGUUGGGGGUGGUUGUAUUAGUCUUCUGAGUUGAUGG